rnacentral:misc_RNA from 1 species
AUGCGAUAAGUAAUGUGAAUUGCAGAAUUCAGUGAAUCAUCGAAUCUUUGAACGCACAUUGCGCCCAUUAGUAUUCUAGUGGGCAUGCCUGUUCGAGCGUCAUUACAACCCUUAAGCCUUAGCUGCUUAGCGUUGGGAGCUCGCCGUAAUUGGCGACUCCUUAAAGAUAUUGGCGGAGCCGAGUGGAGCUCUAAGCGUAGUAAUUCUCUCGCUUUUGAAGUACCCCCCGGCGACGGCCAUAAGCCUAUUAAUCUUCAUUCUUCAAGGUUUGACCUCGGAUCAGGUAGGAAUACCCGCUGAACUUAA